rnacentral:rRNA from 1 species
AUUGAACGCUGGCGGCAGGCCUAACACAUGCAAGUCGAGCGGAUGAAGGGAGCUUGCUCCUGGAUUCAGCGGCGGACGGGUGAGUAAUGCCUAGGAAUCUGCCUGGUAGUGGGGGAUAACGUCCGGAAACGGGCGCUAAUACCGCAUACGUCCUGAGGGAGAAAGUGGGGGAUCUUCGGACCUCACGCUAUCAGAUGAGCCUAGGUCGGAUUAGCUAGUUGGUGGGGUAAAGGCCUACCGAGGCGACGAUCCGUAACUGGUCUGAGAGGAUGAUCAGUCACACUGGAACUGAGACACGGUCCAGACUCCUACGGGAGGCAGCAGUGGGGAAUAUUGGACAAUGGGCGAAAGCCUGAUCCAGCCAUGCCGCGUGUGUGAAGAAGGUCUUCGGAUUGUAAAGCACUUUAAGUUGGGAGGAAGGGCAGAAAGUUAAUACCUUGCUGUUUUGACGUUACCAACAGAAUAAGCACCGGCUAACUUCGUG